GCCACUUUAGCUCAGUUGGUAGAGCAGCUGACUUGUAAUCAGCAGGUCGCCGGUUCGAGUCCGGCAGGUGGCUC
rnacentral:tRNA from 1 species